GUUUGCUUAAUGAGUUAUAUUCGUGUUUAAAUGAAAUUAAUGAAUAAAAUGAUGCGUAUAUGCGUUGAAGUUAUUUUGAUUUAAAUUUGAAAGUUGAGAACUAUUUUGUUAAUUUCUCUCUAAGAUUUUAUACAAUAAAGUUGUCUUGUCUCUCUCCUCCUGCGUCCACGUUAUCAGGUAGGGGAGGGCAAUCAAUGACACGUGGCAGUCCUAAAUUAAGCUUCCAAUGUUGUUUUUGCUGUGUUGUGUUGAUCGGGCCAAGUUUUGGUACGACACGUAAUAAGCAAUCUAUUAUGGGCCCACUUCUAUUCUCAAAGUCUUCGUCUUCUCGAUUUCUUCGUCUUCUCGAUUUCCCUUGCUCCCAUGGGUGUUCCUCUGCCAAACGUUACUUCUUUUAAUUGAUUCACGCCUUAAAGCGAGUACUUUAACUUCUUCCGGCCUCUAAACCCACUACGCCGAGUUCAAUGAUCCGUCUUCAACAUCGAUUUCAUUACCCCUAAUUCUUCAUACUAUAAAUAAGCCAUGAAGCCCUCUCCAUAUUGCAGUGCUUCAUCUUAUUUUUUUGAUGGUUUCCUUACAAACUUUGAUUGCAUAAAAUUAUAUGAAAUUUAUAUCCAGAAAGAAAUCGUGAGAAAAGAAUAUUUGCUUGUCGUUUUGUGUGCUUGACUGUGUUUAUAGAUCUGAAUGUGCUUAUAAGUGCGAUGCUAUGAUCUUCAGGUACCAUGGCUCCACUCUGAUAUCAGCAAGUUUUUCAGGGUGAAACGGAAGUGGAGUUCUCAACCAGAUUAGUCAAGAAUGCAGAGGAUCUUAUCAUUAAAGAGGGACCAGAAACAAUUGGUGCUUUUAUCGCUGAACCAGUCAUGGUUGCUGUUCGUGUGAUACCUCCACCUGCUACGUAAUUUGAAAAGGUCAUUUCUAUAACUUCAUUGGUACUAAGUACAUUUGGCAAUGGUUAUGCUAUUUUGUGUUACUAAGUACCAAGUAUAUUGGGCUCUUUCUGUACUGCAGGUCCAAGCUGUUGUUUGCAGUAUGAUAUCCUGCUCAUUGCUGUUGAAGUAUGUGCAUAUCUAACUGAACCAUGUUCAUUACCAUGACCCCAAAAUCGAUGGAUAACAAAAAUACAUGACUAACCAUUUGUAUUUUGUUUGGCCUUUAAGUGAAUACACCAUCAAGCCAGAUCUUCUGUCCUUAGCUAAGGCACCGUCUCCAGCACAUAUGCCGAUGGAGCCAUUCUUAUGAGUCAAAAAGUAGCAGAUGUCAUGUAUUCUCAAAGCAACAAGCUUGGUGAUUUCUCGCAUGGAUUUACUUAUUCUGCUCAUCCAUUUUCAUGUGCUAUAGCGAUUGAAGCGUUAAAGACAUACAAGAAACACUUCAUAUGGAUUACUUGAGCAGCUAAGCGUUGCGUGGUUUCUUGAGUACGCCCCCCGGCACUGUAACAUGUGGUUCCGUAACUGAGCUCUCGCCACAGUAGCUUCUGUAGAUGUCGUGAUAUCAUUCAGUGGAGGCAAAUACUGGGCCUGCACCACAGGUGGUGUUAGUGUGAGUUGUAGAUAGCUUCUCACCAUCAGAGCACAUGCAUGACACACAUGUAAAUCCAUGCAUAUCAUCUUCUGGGUUGUUGUUCCCGUCCUGUCAACACAGAUUAGACUAUGUCACACUAACUCUCUAUUAAAAAGUUUUUGUCAGCUUAGCUAGGAGUAUGGGAUGGUUUACAUGUGAGUUGAAAGUUGCAGUUGGGGGUUGGGGCACGUUGGGUGAUCAUCUUAGAAGGAUCAUUUCAACCUCCAUAAGCUCUCCCUCUUUCAUGACAUUGCGUGCCUCCAAAGACGGAGAAGCCGCGCUUCUGAGGAGAACGGCCGGCCGUCAAACCGGCAAACGUUAUUGGAGAGUAAAAUGUAAAAAUUCAAUAAUUUUGUUAUAUAGAUACUGAUUUAAAAUAAUACA